ensembl:misc_RNA Metazoa_SRP Metazoan signal recognition particle RNA
GCCGGGCAUGGUGGCUCAUGCCUGUAAUCCCAGCACUUUGGGAGGUCGAGGUGGGUGGAUCACCUGAGGUCAGGAGUUUGAGACCAGCCUGGCCAACAUGGUGAAACCCCGCCUCUA